UCAUAUUGAACCAUCAAGUGAUAAUUAAUAAAACAAAAAUAUAGCUAUGCUUUUUUUUAAGAGACAAAUUAAAUUAUGAUUAAAAAGUAUUAGCACAAUUCAUGCUAGCAUAUGAAGAAGUAUAGACACAUUAUAACCACAAAUUGCAUUCAUACGGCUACAAAUCAAGCAACAAAAACAACAUAAUUACAAAACAGAUCUUAAACAUAAAUAGCAAAAAAAAAUAACAACUAUAAACAUUUUUCUUUUGCCACACAACUCCAAGCAGGGAGACAAUUUAUCUGCCAAGAUAAGCAACACCUUGACAUGCAUUUGCAAUCAAAUAAGCUAAUCAACAUGCACCAAAAUGUAAAUCAUGUCAUUUGAAUAACUAAGUGAUAGGCAUAUUUUCUUUAAAAACAAAAAAACAAAGGCAAGAUCUAAGUUCCAAGUAAAUCUCUUCAAAACAAAAUAUAAUGAAUAAAAAGGUACAAUAUAAAAAAUGUGAAAAUUACCACUGCCGGCGGAAGAACCUGGAGAGAGUAAGCCCGGCUAUUAUGUUAUUAUUUUAGAGUUGCUGUAAAGAAACUUGAGCAGAGUCAUGUAGUUGUUACCGUCGCCGUAAACAUGACCGAACCAAAAUAAAUCUUCCCCUAAACUUACAAGAACAAACUCGGCGAAGUGACUCGACCUCGUCAGUAUGGUUGCUUGAAGGUUGACGUCGUGGAGCGUGGUUACUAAGUUUAUUCAUGUGGCGAUGUCGUGGUAUGGUGAUGGAAGUGGAAUACAUCGACGAAAUCUUAUGUUAGAUGCGGUGGCCGGUCAUGUGUGUUUAACAAGUAGAUGAUGAUGGACAUGAAGGUUGUUUCGGGGUGAGUCGGAAGUGAAUCGGUGGGAGAACAGUGAGAGAGAUCGCUGGUUUUAAUGGUGAUUUGAACACGGUGUUGGAUCGAUGUUGGUGGUGACGUCGGUGGUCUCGUGGCCGGAUAUGAAGUGGGUUUUGUCGGUGGUGCGAAGGUCAGUCGAAGGGAGUUCGUCGGAGGGUUGUGGUUGUGGCACGCGGUGUUUGUGAGCGAAGAACGGAGAGGGGUUGUUGGCGGUUGGCUCGCCGGUGAUUUAUGGUGGUGGGUUUAUGGUAAGAGGCGGAAAAAUGGAGAGAAGAGGUAACAGUGGGUUUGUUGGAUUUUGACUCUUUUUCUUUAUUCUUUUCUUUUUGUUUCUCUUUUCUCAUGCUACAGAGAGUGAGUCCUCCUAUGAGAGAGAAAUGUGGGUAUAUGUAUAUGAAUUUUCAGCUUUUUCUUUUCUUAUUUUUUGUUUUAUUGGGUGAGUCCAGAUAGAAGAGGGAGAGG
rnacentral:lncRNA from 1 species